rnacentral:rRNA from 1 species
GACAGAGGGUGCAAGCGUUGCUCGGAAUCACUGGGCGUAAAGGGCGCGUAGGCGGGAUGGCAAGUCGGUCGUGAAAUCUCUCGGCUCAACCGAGAAACGUCGGCCGAUACUGCCGUUCUUGAGGGAUGCAGAGGAGACUGGAAUUCCCGGUGUAGCGGUGAAAUGUGUAGAGAUCGGGAGGAACACCGGUGGCGAAGGCGGGUCUCUGGGCAGCUCCUGACGCUGAGGCGCGAAAGCGUGGGGAGCAAACGGG